AGUGAACGCUGGCGGUAGGCCUAACACAUGCAAGUCGAACGGCAGCACAGUAAGAGCUUGCUCUUACGGGUGGCGAGUGGCGGACGGGUGAGGAAUACAUCGGAAUCUACUUUUUCGUGGGGGAUAACGUAGGGAAACUUACGCUAAUACCGCAUACGACCUACGGGUGAAAGCAGGGGAUCUUCGGACCUUGCGCGAUUGAAUGAGCCGAUGUCGGAUUAGCUAGUUGGCGGGGUAAAGGCCCACCAAGGCGACGAUCCGUAGCUGGUCUGAGAGGAUGAACAGCCACACUGGAACUGAGACACGGUCCAGACUCCUACGGGAGGCAGCAGUGGGGAAUAUUGGACAAUGGGCGCAAGCCUGAUCCAGCCAUACCGCGUGGGUGAAGAAGGCCUUCGGGUUGUAGAGCCCUUUUGUUGGGAAAGAAAAGCAGCAGGUUAAUACCCCGCUGUUCUGACGGUACCCAAAGAAUAAGCACCGGCUAACUUCGUG
rnacentral:rRNA from 1 species